rnacentral:rRNA from 1 species
UUAACACAUGCAAGUCGAGGGGCAGCAUGGUCUUAGCUUGCUAAGGCCGAUGGCGACCGGCGCACGGGUGAGUAACACGUAUCCAACCUGCCGUCUACUCUUGGACAGCCUUCUGAAAGGAAGAUUAAUACAAGAUGGCAUCAUGAGUCCGCAUGUUCACAUGAUUAAAGGUAUUCCGGUAGACGAUGGGGAUGCGUUCCAUUAGAUAGUAGGCGGGGUAACGGCCCACCUAGUCUUCGAUGGAUAGGGGUUCUGAGAGGAAGGUCCCCCACAUUGGAACUGAGACACGGUCCAAACUCCUACGGGAGGCAGCAGUGAGGAAUAUUGGUCAAUGGGCGAGAGCCUGAACCAGCCAAGUAGCGUGAAGGAUGACUGCCCUAUGGGUUGUAAACUUCUUUUAUAAAGGAAUAAAGUCGGGUAUGCAUACCCGUUUGCAUGUACUUUAUGAAUAAGGAUCGGCUAACUCCGUGCCAGCAGCCGCGGUAAUACGGAGGAUCCGAGCGUUAUCCGGAUUUAUUGGGUUUAAAGGGAGCGUAGAUGGAUGUUUAAGUCAGUUGUGAAAGUUUGCGGCUCAACCGUAAAAUUGCAGUUGAUACUGGAUAUCUUGAGUGCAGUUGAGGCAGGCGGAAUUCGUGGUGUAGCGGUGAAAUGCUUAGAUAUCACGAAGAACUCCGAUUGCGAAGGCAGCCUGCUAAGCUGCAACUGACAUUGAGGCUCGAAAGUGUGGGUAUCAAACAGGAUUAGAUACCCUGGUAGUCCACACGGUAAACGAUGAAUACUCGCUGUUUGCGAUAUACAGCAAGCGGCCAAGCGAAAGCGUUAAGUAUUCCACCUGGGGAGUACGCCGGCAACGGUGAAACUCAAAGGAAUUGACGGGGGCCCGCACAAGCGGAGGAACAUGUGGUUUAAUUCGAUGAUACGCGAGGAACCUUACCCGGGCUUAAAUUGCAGAUGAAUUACGGUGAAAGCCGUAAGCCGCAAGGCAUCUGUGAAGGUGCUGCAUGGUUGUCGUCAGCUCGUGCCGUGAGGUGUCGGCUUAAGUGCCAUAACGAGCGCAACCCUUGUUGUCAGUUACUAACAGGUUCCGCUGAGGACUCUGACAAGACUGCCAUCGUAAGAUGCGAGGAAGGUGGGGAUGACGUCAAAUCAGCACGGCCCUUACGUCCGGGGCUACACACGUGUUACAAUGGGGGGGUACAGAGGGCCGCUACCACGCGAGUGGAUGCCAAUCCCAAAAACCUCUCUCAGUUCGGACUGGAGUCUGCAACCCGACUCCACGAAGCUGGAUUCGCUAGUAAUCGCGCAUCAGCCACGGCGCGGUGAAUACGUUCCCGGGCCUUGUACACACCGCCCGUCAAGCCAUGGGAGCCGGGGGUACCUGAAGUGCGUAACCGCGAGGAGCGCCCUAGGGUAAAACUGGUGACUGGGGCUAAGUCAUAAC